CUCUGUAGUAACAUUUAAUGCCAGUUCCUGAUAAUCGUUUGAGUUAGGGUCUGAAUACGCUUCUAGGAAUGUACGGUUCAUUUUGAAUCCUAAUCCAAGUGAACCUUCAUUUCCAAUUGGUGAUGCAGCUGAGUAUAUAGUUGCUAAUGAUGCUGUUGUUGUUUUUAUAGUGGUUGUUGUGGCUGCGGCCGUGGUUGUUGUUUGAGUACUAGUGCUUGUUGUAGCAGCUUCAGUAGUUGUUGUGGGUGCAGCUGUGGAUGUUGUAUGAGCAGCUGUGGUAGUUGUGGUUUCUGCCGUGGUUGUUGUGGCUGCUGUCGUGGUUGUUGUGCUUGCUGUCGUGGUUGUUGUGGGGAUUGGUGUUGUCGUGGGAGCAGGUGUUGUAGUUGUGGUUUCUGCCGUGGUUGUUGUGGCUGCUGCCGUGGUUGUUGUGCUUGCUGUCGUGGUUGUCGUGGGAGCUGCAACUGUUGUCGUGGGAGCAGCCAUUGUAGUUGUUGUGUCUGCCGUGGUUGUUGUGGCUGCUCCGGUGGUUGUUGUGCUUGCUGUCGUGGUUGUUGUGGGGAUUGGUGUUGUCGUGGGAGCAGGUGUUGUAGUUGUGGUUUCUGCCGUGGUUGUUGUGGCUGCUCCAGUGGUUGUUGUUGCUUCUGCCGUAGUUGUAGUGGGAGCACCUGUUGUUGUUGUGGGUAAUGCGGUGGUUGUUGUGGGUGCGGUAGUGGUUGUUGUUUGAGUAGUAGUGCUUGUUGUAGCAGCUUCAGUAGUUGUUGUGGGUGCACCUGUGGAUGUUGUUGGAGCAGCUGUGUUAGUUGUGGUUUCUGCCGUGGUUGUUGUGCUUCCUGUCGUGGUUGUUGUGGGGGUUGGUGUUGUCGUGGGAGCAUCUGUGGUAGUUGUGGUUUCUGACGUGGUAGUUGUGGCUGCUGCCGUGGUUGUUGUGCUUGCUGUCGUGGUUGUUGUGGGGGCUGCAACUGUUGUCGUGGGAGCAGGUGUUGUAGUUGUGGUUUCUGCCGUGGUUGUUGUGGCUGCUCCAGUGGUUGUUGUUGCUUCUGCCGUAGUUGUAGUGGGAGCACCUGUUGUUGUUGUGGGUAAUGCUGUGGUUGUUGUGGGUGUGGCCGUGGUUGUUGUUUGCCUAGUAGUGCUUGUUGUAGUAGCGUCAGGAGAUGUCGUGGGUGCACCUGUGGAUGUUGUUGGAGCAGCUGUGUUAGUUGUGGUUUCUGCCGUGGAUGUUGUGGCUGCUGCCGUGGUUGUUGUGAGAGCUGGUGUUGUUGUGGUAGCAGCCGUGGAAGAUGUGGGUAGUGCUGUGGUUGUUGUGGGUGCGGCAGUGGUAGUUGUGGAAUCUGAUGUGGUUGUUGUGGCUGCUGCCGUGGUUGUUGUUGCUGCUGCCGUAGUUGUAGUGGGAGCACCUGUGGAUGUUGUUGGAGCAGCUGUGUUAGUUGUGGUUUCUGCCAUGGUAGUUGUGGCUGCUGCCGUGGUUGUUGUGCUUCCUGUCGUGGUUGUUGUGGGGGUUGGUGUUGUCGUGGGAGCAUCUGUGGUAGUUGUGGUUUCUGCCGUGGUAGUUGUGGCUGCUGCCGUGGUUGUUGUGCUUGCUGUCGUGGGAGUAGCCGUUGUAGUUGUGGUUGUUGUUUGAGUAGUAGUGCUUGUUGUAGCAGCUCCAAUAGUUGUUGUGGGUGCACCUGUGGAUGUUGUUGGAGCAGCUGUGGUGAUUGUG
ensembl:lncRNA